rnacentral:rRNA from 1 species
UACGUAGGGUGCGAGCGUUGUCCGGAAUUAUUGGGCGUAAAGAGCUUGUAGGCGGUUUGUCGCGUCUGCCGUGAAAAUUCGAGGCUCAACCUCGAACUUGCGGUGGGUACGGGCAGACUAGAGUGUGGUAGGGGAGACUGGAAUUCCUGGUGUAGCGGUGAAAUGCGCAGGUAUCAGGAGGAACACCGAUGGCGAAGGCAGGUCUCUGGGCCACUACUGACGCUGAGAAGCGAAAGCAUGGGGAGCGAACAGG